rnacentral:sRNA from 1 species
GUGUGGAAUAGUGGUUUCUAAAGCUGGCUGGACAGCAAAACCACCUGGGGAGCUUUUAAGAAACUGAAAUUCCAUGUCUCAUACCCCAGCCCUCACGUGAGGUCCAGGAAUCUGUGUGAUUAAAAAAUACAAGCCCCAAAACAACUUGGAAAGUGGUCGUUUUACAGGUGGGGAUUUAAGAACCAAGAAUCCAGAGCUCUCCUACCAGGUCCCCAGAAACCGGAUAUUUGCAUUUCAACAAAGUACCAAACCUCAAGAGAAAGGGCUGCUCCAAGGAUGGAAGAUAUAUUUGGUAGGGAGAGGACUUUUUAUCACCCUUGAUUCACUCCAUGUAGGCAGGGACCUUCUGUUUCCAACGUGGCUAGAUCCAUCAGAAACUGAAGCCGUGGAGAACGCUCUCGGGGCCUUUGCCACUUCUUGGAGUAGAAGCCGACAGAGAGCUGUUUGGAAACUUCUCCUUCACACACCAGUUGAAGACUAGGCUUUGGAGGUUUUCAAAGCAGACGGUGCUUGGAUGGGCAGGGAGAAGUAACAUUCUGCAAAUC